rnacentral:tRNA from 1 species
GGUGUCGUGGCCGAGUUGGUUAGGCGGUGGUUUGCAAGAUCACACACAGUAGUUCGAGUCUACUCGACACCU